GUAUCGUAAUUUAAAAAAAAUGUCAAGCUGUGACCUUGAAAUUAGACGCACGCCUCGUACACC
rnacentral:tRNA from 1 species